UAAAGUUACUGGUUUUAGUUUUAUAAUAUGUGACCAAUAAAACUUGAUCCGAGCGUGUUUUAAAAAGUUAAAAUCGAAAAGACCUGUUAUCAAUAAAUUUAAAAUUAAGCCAUGCCACGUGUUAAAAAAAUUGUUGACUGUAAGAAUGAGAAUGGGCAACAGUUGUAUCAAGUUAAAUGGGAAAGUUCAUGGGAAACUGCUGAAAGUCUUGCUGGUUGCCAAAGUCUAAUAAACGAAUUUUGGGAUUAUGUCCAUAAUUGCAGACAUGCUGGUGGAUUUAGUCCAAAACAAAUUAAAAAGCCUAAAUUAGAAAUAAAGCAAGAUCAAUUGACUCCUUUAAAACAGGAGCCAUUUUCUCCAGUUCACAGUUCUCAAUACAAUUUUGGUUAUAUAUCCUUAUUAAAUUCAUCAGUUCUUAGCACUGAAAAAUUUCCAAUUGGACAACAAUCAGAAUUAAUGGGUAAUGUUUUUCUCAGCACCCCAGAAAGAAUUAAAAUCAAAAAAGAAAACCAAACAGAUGUUGCUUAUCCCAAUUUUCAGCAAUCUAAUGUUUCCAUCAUUCAACAGACAAAUAAUAAAAUGUCAAAUAUUCAACAACCUAAUAUCCAACAAUUAUCUACCCAACAAUCAAAUAUCCAACAGUUCAAUAUUCAGCAAGUUACAAAAACUGAAUCAAGUAAUGAAUCUGAUUAUUCUAUUUCCUCUGCUAGUUCACCUUUGUCUAAUCAAAAUAAAGGUGUUGGAAGGGGAAAAGGUAGAGGAUUGCAAUUUGGACAAGCUCUUAACCAGGGUACACCUAGUAAACAGUUAAAUGCUGCCACAAAAUUAGAUGAGUCGAUUGCUGUGCAAUUUACUUGUCAUUUAUAAACAGAUUUAAUGGAUCGCAGUGCAGAUCUGUUGUCACAAAGGGUUAAGUAAUAAAAUAAAGGGAGCUUUGAGCAGCUCAACUUUAGAGGGUUUUGUUGUCUCUUGGGAAAAUGAGAAUCCCCAUUGUCGCAUUGUUUUCUUGUGUCGUAGUUGCAAUAAAGAAAUGAAUUACAAACUCAAAGGAAAUUGGAAAGCAC
rnacentral:misc_RNA from 1 species